UACGUAGGGUGCGAGCGUUGUCCGGAAUUAUUGGGCGUAAAGGGCUCGUAGGCGGUUUGUCGCGUCGGGAGUGAAAACCUUGGGCUUAACUCAGGGCUUGCUUUCGAUACGGGCAGACUAGAGGUAUGCAGGGGAGAACGGAAUUCCUGGUGUAGCGGUGAAAUGCGCAGAUAUCAGGAGGAACACCGGUGGCGAAGGCGGUUCUCUGGGCAUGAUCUGACGCUGAGGAGCGAAAGCUGGGGGAGCAAACGGG
rnacentral:rRNA from 1 species